rnacentral:rRNA from 1 species
UACGUAGGGCGCAAGCGUUAUCCGGAAUUAUUGGGCGUAAAGAGCUCGUAGGCGGUUUGUCGCGUCUGCCGUGAAAGUCCGGGGCUCAACUCCGGAUCUGCGGUGGGUACGGGCAGACUAGAGUGAUGUAGGGGGAGACUGGAAUUCCUGGUGUAGCGGUGAAAUGCGCAGAUAUCAGGAGGAACACCGAUGGCGAAGGCAGGUCUCUGGGCAUUAACUGACGCUGAGGAGCGAAAGCAUGGGGACGAACAGG